GCCUAGCUUUGAGGCUUGCUCACUGCCGCUUGUUUGUUAUUUUUCUUUAUCAAUAGUAUGUUGAAAAUAAAGAAAGUUAAGAUCAGGUUAACUUAGUUCAGAGAGAACAGACUUGUUCUGUUUCACUGAACAUGCUUUUAUGAUUCACUGCACUGCCGCUGUGUACCUGCAUUGCCCUGCCUAUCUUUCCCUUGUGGAUUGCACACUAAUGAAGAAUGACGCUAAAACUCAGAAGAUCUCAUUGCUACACUUCUCUCAAAUGGUGACCAAGCUUGUGAGACAGCAGGAAGAGUGAUCAGCACUUUAAAUACUCUUUAUGAGUCUUGUAAAAGGGGAAGAAAGAGAUCCUCAUCAAAUGGCUACCUGGCCCCUCAUGUGGGAACAAGUGGAGGGAUUCCUGGGAGCCAGAGGACUUUCUCAACCAAAAAUAAAACAUUUUUUUUUCCUUCUUGGUUUUAAUGAUUUAAAUAUUUUAUUCAUUUUUAUUUUAAUAAAUCCAACUUUACUAUCCU